UGGCGGAGGCACUGCUAUCGGAGUUCGAUUAAGCCAUGCGAGUCGAGAGGUGCAAGACCUCGGCAUACUGCUCAGUAACACGUGGACAACCUACCCUAAGGAGGGGGAUAACCCCGGGAAACUGGGGAUAAUACCCCAUAGAUUAUGGAAGCUGGAAUGCUCUGUAGUCAAAAGGUCCGCCGCCUUAGGAUGGGUCUGCGGCCGAUUAGGUUGUUGUUGGGGUAACGGCCCAACAAGCCUGUAAUCGGUACGGGUUGUGGGAGCAAGAGCCCGGAGAUGGAUUCUGAGACACGAAUCCAGGCCCUACGGGGCGCAGAGGCGCGAAAACUUUACAAUGCGGGAAACCGUGAUAAGGGAACUCCGAGUGCCCGUUAAAUCGGGCUGUCCACCAGUUUAAAUAACUGGUGAAGAAAGGGCCGGGCAAGACCGGUGCCAGCCGCCGCGGUAAUACCGGCGGCUCGAGUGGUGGCCACUAUUACUGGGCUUAAAGCGUUCGUAGCUGGUUUGUUAAGUCUCUGGGGAAAUCUACCGGCUUAACCGGUAGGCGUCUCAGGGAUACUGGCAGACUAGGGACCGGGAGAGGUGAGGGGUACUCCAGGGGUAGGAGUGAAAUCCUGUAAUCCUUGGGGGACCACCUGUGGCGAAGGCGCCUCACCAGAACGGCUCCGACAAUGAGGGACGAAAGCUGGGGGAGCAAACCGGAUUAGAUACCCGGGUAGUCCCAGCUGUAAACGAUGCGCGUUAGGUGUAUCGUGACCACGAGUCACCGAGGUGCCGAAGAGAAAUCGUGAAACGUGCCGCCUGGGAAGUACGGUCGCAAGGCUGAAACUUAAAGGAAUUGGCGGGGGAGCACCACAACGGGUGGAGCUGCGGUUUAAUCGGACUCAACGCCGGGAAACKCACCGGACAAGACAGCUGAAUGAUAGUCGGGCUGAAGACUCUACUUGACUAGCUGAGAGGAGGUGCAUGGCCGUCGUCAGUUCGUACUGUGAAGCAUCCUGUUAAGUCAGGBAACGAG
rnacentral:rRNA from 1 species